UACGUGGGGUGCGAGCGUUGUUCGGAAUUACUGGGCGUAAAGCGUGUGCAGGCGGCCUGUUAAGUCCGAUGUGAAAUCCCUGGGCUCAACCCAGGAAUUGCAUUGGAAACUAGCGGGCUGGAGUUCGGGAGAGGGUAGUGGAAUUCCUGGUGUAGAGGUGAAAUUCGUAGAUAUCAGGAGGAACACCGGUGGCGAAGGCGGCUACCUGGACCGAUACUGACGCUGAUACACGAAAGCGUGGGUAGCGAACAGG
rnacentral:rRNA from 1 species